rnacentral:lncRNA from 1 species
AGAGUCCAGCAGGGGAGACACGCCUACCUCCAUCCCUGGUCCUGGCCAGUUGAUGGAUGGGUUAAGUGUCCUGGCUUGCCAAUUUAAUGGUGUGUGUGUACUGUCCUCUGAAGAAAUUGUCUUUAGUCCCAUUUAAUAACAAGCAAGAUGGCUCAUCAGUAAGGGUGCUUGCCACCAAAACUGACACCUGAAUUCAGUCCCUGGAACCUACUUGGUAGAAGAAGAGGACUGACUCCUGAAAGCUGUCCUCUCACCGCCACAGGCAUGUGCUUGCCAUCCUACAUGCACAGGAAAAAGGAGCAAAGAGCCACGCAAAGAAUGAGCUAUGGUACAGUGUUCUUCUCUCCAAAAUGUCUGCAGUUUGCAACUGUAGUUACAGCUCUUCUUCACAGGAAUCGACAUCAAACUCGACCCCAAGUUAACUUUACAGUACUGAAUAAUGCGACUCAGAUUCGAGGACAAAUGUGGAGAGAUGGUAACGUGUGAAAACUGUGGCCUCUGACAACAUCACUGGGAUGACAUCAGGUUCGUAAGCAGAUUCUCUCGUACAGUUGAAACGGGAUCGUGUGCAUCUGUGGCAUGAACUGAAGUCUAGAAGAGUGUCUCUCAUCUGUGGUACCCUCCCUGUGGUUCUCCAGUACCACUCAGUUUUCUUUGCAGUUACAGAAUUCAGGGGGUAGGUGGGGGGACGUGGGAAAGCAAGCCACUGGCAUUUUAACAACUGUACCCCUGCUGGUAGACCUAGCUUUUCAGAUGAGAUCUCCUGCCCGCACGUGACAACUGCUUGCUCCCAGACGGCCUUGGUAACUAGUCUUUCCUACUCUGGUCUCUUUUGAAGCAGGUACAAUUUCCAUGAUAGCGCUUUUCCCAGUGGAGAAAUUAUUUGGCUAAACUCAUACACUCAACUCGUGGCAGUACUCUGGGAAAACCCCACUGAGGCUAAAGCACAAAGACUAAGUCACAAAGACUAAGGACUAAGUCUGCUAAGUGGGGCAGAGACCAAACACCCAGAGGGCUGAGUUGAAACCCACCGGGAACACGCUGACCCUGGUGUCCCACGGUCAGCAGGACAGCAGGACAGCAGGACAGCCCAGGGCAGGCAACUCAUAGCUGAAUUGCCACUUUUAGUCUCUGCCUGCCGUCGAUGCCCCAGAGACAAAAAUUCAGAUGUGGUGACAGCUGGUUAAUUAAGCUUUUGAACUGGUAAAAAAGGCUCUUU